rnacentral:other from 18 species
CCAAUAAUCCCUCAUCUAAAAAUCCAACCACUGAAAC